UGCCCACUGAUUAAAAAUUAAAGGGCUGCAGUAUUUUGACUGUACAAAGGUAGCAUAAUCAUUAGUCAUUUAAUUGGUGACUUGUAUGAAGGAUUGGAUGAAAUAUUAACUGUCUUAAAUAUAAAUUUUAUAAUUUAAUUUUUUAGUUAAAAAGCUAAAAUAUUAUAAAAAGACGAGAAGACCCUAUAGAGUUUAAUUAAAUAAUUAGAUUAAUAUAUUUUAUAUAAAUUUAGAUUUAAAUUUAAUUUUUAAUUUUAUUGGGGUGAUAGAAAAAUUCAAUAAACUUUUUAUAUAAAAGAACAUAAAUAAGUGAGUAAAUGAUCCAAUAAUAUUGAUUAUAAGAAAAAAUUACCUUAGGGAUAACAGCGUAAUUUUGUUUUUUAGUUCAUAUAAGAAAUAAAGUUUGCGACCUCGAUGUUGGAUUAAGAUAAAAUUUAAAUGUAGAAGUUUAAAGUUUUGA
rnacentral:rRNA from 1 species